rnacentral:rRNA from 1 species
GACGAACGCUGGCGGCGUGCUUAACACAUGCAAGUCGAACGGAAAGGCCUGCUUUCCCUUGUGGAUUGCGGGUACUCGAGUGGCGAACGGGUGAGUAACACGUGAGUGAUCUGCCCCCAACUUGGGUAUAAGCCUGGGAAACUGGGUCUAAUUCCCGAUAGGACUGCAGGGUGGUGCCUGUGGUGGAAAACGAUUUUCUAGUGGUUGGGGAUGAGCUCGCGGCCUGUCAGCUUGUUGGUGGGGUAAUGGCCUACCAAGGCGGCGACGGGUAGCCGGCCGGAGAGGGUGGACGGGGACAGGGGGACUGAGAUACGGGCCAGAGUCCUACGGGAGGCAGCAGUGGGGAAUAUUGGACAAUGGGCGGAAGCCUGAUGCAGCGACGCCGCGUGGGGGAUGACGGCCUUCGGGUUGUAAACUCCUUUCGACCGCGAGGAAGCCACCUGGUUGGAAGGGUGGUGACGGUAGUGGUAGAAGAAGCACCGGCUAACUACGUG